GGUUAGUCCCCCCUCCUCGAGCCUGUCUUCCCUGUCCCUCCCUCUGGACUUGACACCUGGUAUCUCUUUCUCGUGUCCAUGAGCCCAGGGCACGUGAGGCCCAGGUGGGCAUGGUAUCUCUUUCUCCCUAAACUGUCCCCAAAGUAGGCACAACUUUGUGUGCUGCCCGCCCCCACUGUCAGUGCACUCUUCCAAGGGUUCCUGUGGAAUCCAGGCUCCAGUAAACACCCAAAGAGGAGGAAGUGGGCCAAGCAAUGAGCCUGCGAUUGCAUCAGGGCUGACGCACUCCCUGCCUUUUCCCCCACCUCAGUCUCCAGAGGAGCUCCUUGGGGCCAGGCCCAGCCCAGGAGACAGGCUCAGGCCAAGGUGAAGAAGGGGAUGCUGGAGAGGGAUGCAGAUUAAAUUGCACUCUCCUUGGCUUGGGAAAGAAACAGCCAACAGAUCUGAAAGCUGGAGGUGAUGCAAAGAAGCCAAGGAGAAACAUGAAAACUCAAAUGUGCCCUGAACCAGUCUCAACUCCCAAGUCAAGGAAUGUAAAGUAACACCUGACAUUGGUGGAGAGGGGUAUCCUGAUAGCUGAUUGGCCGAGGGAAGGAUCCAGAAGGAGGCCGCGGCCUUCCAGUGCACCCAGGCCCAGCCUUGAUUCAGCAGCAGCUUUCCAGCUCCUACUGGCACCAGGGGAGGGAACUCCUGACCCGCGGACCCACCCUCGAAGCAAGCCUUGACGUCUCCCGGAAUUUACAGCUCCUCUCCCUCCCCGCUGGGCUUCCCCAGGCAGCUUGCACCCAGGCUCUUCUUCUGAAGGCUGCCGCCGAGGGCAAACUGCAGGGGUCUGCACAACUCCCCAGGGCUUCCCGUAGAAGCUGAUUGACAAGCACGGGGGCGGGGAAGGUUCCUGCAGUCCUUAGUGACCGGCGCCCUGCCCCCUCGGCCUCCGCCCCUGUAGAGGGCUGUAAAAUUCCGGAAGAGAGAUUAGAGGCAGGGGAUGGGUGGGGCGGUGAAUCAGUACAUUCCUUCCUCCCCCUGCCUCCCCCUCCCCGGUUAUCACUUUGGGGUGGUUGAAUCCUCUCUUGGCCUUCUCCUGACCGGUCCACUGCCAGGGUCCAGACAAGCUAAGCAGUGCUGGGCGGGAACCUCCCAGGGUCAGCUGAACUUUCUGGAGCCCAGAUCGCUCAUUUUGCAGCUCAUGACCCCGUUUGGUUUCGGGUUGGGGAAUUUUGGUCGUUGCUUCCAACUGGGUCCUUUGCAUGGAGUAGUUCACAGGCCUGCCUGUGCAUUUGUCAGUAGCUCCCAUUUAUUGGGUAAGCCCUGGCUCGGUCUUUUCUUCCUAAAACUUUGCAGUGCAGGCAUCCCUUAUCUCCCAUUAGCUAGGAAAUUGGAAAGCUCAGAGAGAUUAGGUAACUUGCCCAAAGUCAAAAAGUGGCAGAGCCAGGAAUAAUCCCAGCUCUAUCAGUCCCAUAGAUUUCCCAUCACAACCUGAAGCUUCCUUUACUUUAGGACUUUGAAAGGCAACACUUAUUAGGGGGUAGGGAAGUAACAUGUAUGGACUACGUCCUACCGUGCUGCGUAGUUUAAAUAUAUUGUCUUUUAUAAUUUAUUUUUUUCACAACAACCCCCAAGAUAGAUGUGAUCAUCACCGCCAUAUUA